GCUGGUUUUCCAUUAUUGUCUGAAAGCCUAUUCGUCUAAAGCCGUGAUUAACGAAGUGUACCUGAACGCCCCAUCACGUGAACUGUGCCUGAAGAGUGCAUGCAGGGCACCUCCGUUUUGACAUGCGGGGAUGAUGAGAGCAGACACGGAGGAAAACCGUUCUUUGUUCGUGUGCGUUUUAUGAACAACAAACCACACACACAUACACGCUCAUCAACAAGCAUUCUUAUACUUAAGCAUCUAACCUGCCAAAACCAACCUGUAUCUGCUGCAAUUGAUGACCAGAAUAAUAAAGCUGAUGAAGGAUUCUCUGGCCGGAAUCUGUCCAUUGUGUUCCCAUCCCAAAGUGAACCAUUAAUCCAUAUUUUA